rnacentral:tRNA from 1 species
AGGUCGGUAGCUUAGCCGGUUAAAGCACUCGCCUUUUAAGUGAGGGAGCGUGGGUUCAAAUCCCACCCGACCUACCA